GCUUAUGGUCUGUUGGAUAAUUGGUGGA
rnacentral:piRNA from 1 species